GGAAUCUUGCGCAAUGGGCGAAAGCCUGACGCAGCGACGCCGCGUGGGGGACGAAGGCCCUCGGGUUGUAAACCCCUUUCGGCAGGGACGAAGCGAUCGUGACGGUACCUGCAGAAGAAGCCCCGGCUAACUCCGUGCAAGCAGCCGCGGUAAGACGUCGGGGGCGAGCGUUGUCCGGAUUCAUUGGGCGUAAAGAGCGCGUAGGCGGCUCGGUAAGUCGGUUGUGAAAGCCCGGGGCUCAACCCCGGGACUGCGUCCGAUACUGCCGGGCUAGAGGCAGGUAGGGGAGAUCGGAAUUCCUGGUGUAGCGGUGAAAUGCGCAGAUAUCAGGAGGAACACCGGUGGCGAAGGCGGAUCUCUGGGCCUGUCCUGACGCUGAGGCGCGAAAGCUAGGGGAGCGAAC
rnacentral:rRNA from 1 species